AGAGAGAGCGGCAGCGCUGAAAGGAGUCGGAGUGGUGACAGCGGCCAGUGUUUGAUGGAGUUAGGAGUCGGAAUAGUGAUGGCAACUGUUUGGGGAGAGUGAGCAGUGUACGCCAGGAAUCUUCAUGGGGAACUGUGGCACAACAACAUCUGCUGGGAAUGAGGUGCAACCCACCCCCAAACACUCGACCACUAGUGGUUUAUCAUACAUAACCUUUUUUUACUUGCCAAAUUACAGAUGAAUCAUUAUCAGUAUCUGUGAACUUCAACUUGAUAUCCUCUAUGCCCUUCGAUAUCAAUUAUCGGCAAGUUAGCAAACCUCCUAUGUUUGAUGACUACACAUACUUGACAUUGAAAACCAAAGGAAUAUGAUCCACAGCAGAUGUAUUUGAGCCAUGGGGCAGUGUAAUGUCUUUUCAGGAAUUGAGAGAGAAAUUUUGGGCUUCCACAUUCCUAUUUUUAUCGCUAUCUUCAGAUUCAACAUUUUACACAGUCCAUACCUUCACCAGAUUAUUUCAUGUCUUUAGUAUACAAAACAUAGUAUCUUUAUACAGAUCUGUUAACACCUGAUGUGAAGUACUGUAUGAAAGCAUUCUCUUCAUGCAUGGCAAAAAAAAUUCCCACACACUUAGUUGGGAACCGCUCCAUGGUUUCGAGAUGACACUCCGUAAACUGCAAUUGGCUAUGUAGCAGAAGGUCCAUGGGAAACUAAUUAAUAGACCUUAUGUUGCCCCAUCCCAUUGCCAACAUAUGAUUGACAUAGGAACUGGUGCCUGCCUUAAGUACAGCUACAGGCAAGCCACUUUUAUACAUAACUUUUAGAGACGUGGGAUUAUUAAAAAAUAGGAAUAAGUUACUAACACAUCUUUAUACACUGUUCCACUUGGAGCUCUCCUUGGAUCCACUAGCUCUAUUGUGUGCAAACUUCAGAGCAUGGAAUUUAGGGCCAGAUAGGAAAAUAUUCAGGCCUUUUGUCACAACAGUACCUAAAGCACCUCUUGCACCAAACCAAAUAUUCAAGAUGUGUCACACAUGUUGUUAAGAUUAAUGUAUAUUGACAGACAAUCCAUGCUACCAAACAUUGAGAAAGGGGGAAUCAGUUUUUACCAUAGGUGUGGAAAAUAUAUUGAAUCCCUAGACUUGAACACACAAACCCUUGCUUUUUCGUUUUUUGGAGUCAACAGACUGGUAUCUCUAUAGAAAAUGGAUGGAUGUACCCUUAGUCUCUUAACCUAUUUAUAUAACAGGUGGUUGGGGCUGUGUGGGUAGAUCAAGACAGUUUUCACAAAGUACUGUACUAGAGAUUGUUUUUGGAUGACUCGUCUUAUUUUGAGAUUGCAUAUGUUUCCCCUCCCCUUUUCCUCUUGUGUUUCCCUAUGUUUCCCCCUGUUUGUAUGUUCUUUACUUUGUCCAACAGUUGCAUUUCCUGAUUCUUUAUGUUAUGUUUGAGGUUUAUCAGCCACAGACAGUUACUUAUUACUGUUCUACUUAUUCAUGCAAUUUUGAAGAUACCACUAUAGAUGUCUUUGGAAAGUUUCUAUUGUUACAUGUGUUUCUCCCUAGUACAUAUCUCCAUUCUCACCUCUAGCUUGUCUGAGGUUUACUAUACUAGAUUUUCUGUAUUGUAUUGUUCAAAUUGUAUUUAGACUGUGAUGAUCCUACAGAAUUUAGGAAAUUACUGUGCUUUAUGCUUCUAUGUGAAAAAUCUGAAUAACAUUAUUUUGAUACAAACAAAAAAAAAGUUUUUAUGCUGGGGAA